rnacentral:misc_RNA from 1 species
GGAAUUUAUCCAUGAGGACAACUGAAGGCUCUGCGAAACUCUAGCCUCCAUAGUCUCUAUCCACCAACACCACAAGAAAUUUUUUUAAAAUUAGAAAGAGCUGAAGAGUGCACUCUAUACUGUCAACAAGCUUCUGCUGCCUUGAGCAGAAGAGCAAUGAAAAUUGGAACAACAAGAUUGGGGGAAAAAUGGGACUUUUUUGGGGGGU